AGUGAACGCUGGCGGUAGGCCUAACACAUGCAAGUCGAACGGCAGCACAGUAAGAGCUUGCUCUUACGGGUGGCGAGUGGCGGACGGGUGAGGAAUACAUCGGAAUCUACUUUUUCGUGGGGGAUAACGUAGGGAAACUUACGCUGAUACCGCAUACGACCUACGGGUGAAAGCAGGGGAUCUUCGGACCUUGCGCGAUUGAAUGAGCCGAUGUCGGAUUAGCUAGUUGGCGGGGUAAAGGCCCACCAAGGCGACGAUCCGUAGCUGGUCUGAGAGGAUGAUCAGCCACACUGGAACUGAGACACGGUCCAGACUCCUACGGGGGGCAGCAGUGGGGAAUAUUGGACAAUGGGCGCAAGCCUGAUCCAGCCAUACCGCGUGGGUGAAGAAGGCCUUCGGGUUGUAAAGCCCUUUUGUUGGGAAAGAAAAGCAGCAGGUUAAUACCCCGCUGUUCUGACGGUACCCAAAGAAUAAGCACCGGCUAACUUCGU
rnacentral:rRNA from 1 species